rnacentral:rRNA from 1 species
GGCGAACGCUGGCGGCGUGCUUAACACAUGCAAGUCGAACGGAAAGGCCCUGCUUUUGUGGGGGGCUCGAGUGGCGAACGGGUGAGUAACAAGUGAGUAACCUGCCCUUGACUUUGGGAUAACUUCAGGAAACUGGGGCUAAUACCGGAUAGGAGCUCCUGCGGCAUGGUGGGGGUUGGAAAGGUUCGGCGGUUGGGGAUGGACUCGUGGCUUAUCAGCUUGGUGGUGGGGUAGUGGCUUACCAAGGUUUUGACGGGUAGCCGGCCUUGGAGGGUGACCGGCCACAUUGGGACUGAGAUCCGGACCAGACUCCUACGGGAGGCAGCAGUGGGGAAUAUUGCAUAAUGGGCGGAAGCCUGAUGCAGCAACGCCGCGUUCGGGAUGACUGCCUUCGGUUUGUAAACCGCUUUCGCCUGUGACGAAGCGUGAGUGACGGUAAUGGGUAAAGAAGCACCGGCUAACUACGUG